CCUGGGUCGGGAAGUUCCCCUGGAGAAGGGAAUGGCAACCCACCCCAGUAUUCUUGCCUGGAGAAUUCCAUGGACAGAGGAGCCUGGUAGACUACAGUCCAUGGCGUCGCAAAGAGUCGGACAGGACUGAGCACCUAAGCAACCCUCCUGAGAGGGUCCCAGCCCACUGCAGGAGCCUAGAGUGGGAGAGCCAACCUUCUCCAGUGAGAGUGCCCGGAGUCUCUCCUGUCUAGGGACCCCUGGGUGGCUAGUCCAGACAGCAGGGCCGCAUGUGGGAGGGUGCCCUUGUGAUCCUGACCCCAGGCCUGUGCCUCCUUCACUGCAGGCACCUGGGACUAGAUGUCCCCCACGCCUGCAUCCACCACAUUGGCCACCCCUCCUCAUUCCCCUGCAGCACAUUCCAGCACUGGCCUUGUGCUACCGACCUCAGAGGAGACAAACAUGAAGAAGAGGGAUCUUUUGUCCUUAAGCCACCAGGCUUAUAUGGGGAAAGAGGAGAGGCUGAGACGAGCACACAGAUAACCCCAACCCAAAGGAUCUGGCAAGCACCAUAAGAAUUGUGUGAAUUGUGAAAGGAUCUUAAGGAGGGUGGUCACCUUCAAAAGACUUGACAGAGAAAGUGUGGUAUUAGAGGUGGGUCUGGAAUGGUAAGUAGGUCUUCUACAGGCAGUAAAGCAUGGGGAAAGUAUCAAUAUUGGGGGAAGAACAGGAGCAAAAGCAUGGUGGUAAGAAAAGGUGGUGUGUGGGUGUGGGUGUGUGUGUGUGAGUGAGUGAAUGUGUGUUGUUUAGUUGCUCAGUUGUGUCCAGUUCUUUUGCAACCCCAUGGACUAUAACUUGCCAAGCUCCUCUGUCCAUGGGAUUGUCCAGGCAAGAAUACUGGAGUGGGUUGCCAUUUCCAACUCCAGGGGAUCUUCUCAACCCAGAGAUAGAGCUCUAGUCUAUUUCACUGGCAGGCAGAUUUUUUUUAUCACUGAGCCACCCAGGAAGCCCAUGUGUGUGUGUGUCUGUGUGUGUGUGUGCACACACACCUGGAGAAAAACAAGCAAUGACAUUUUGGCUGGAUCCUGGUCUAAAUAGGAGACCAGUGGGGCACAGAUGGGAGAGGGCAAUGGCACCCCACUCCAGUGCUCUUGCCUGGAGAAUCCCAUGGAUGGAGGAGCCUGGUAGGCUGCAGUCCAUGGGGUCGAUGAGAGUCAGACACGACUGAGCGACUUCACUUUCACUUUUCACUUUCAUGCAUUGGAGAAGGAAAUGGCAACCCACUCCAGUGUUCUUGUCUGGAGAAUCCCAAGGAUGGGGGAGCCUGUUGGGCUGCCAUCUAUGGGGUCGCACAGAGUUGGACACGACUGACACGAGCAGCAGGGGCACAGAUAUAGGCUGGGGCCAUUCAGAAGAGGCAUUUAUUUCAACUUGCUAAAUUGAAGGUUUUUGAGAAAAAACCUGAUGUGAUCCAAGCAGUUGUUUGAGAGCAUUGAAUUAGCGACCAGCCUGCAGACUGGAGAGUCAGAAAGACCAAGCUGCCUGUGUGGAGAGGAUUGGAGAAUGGUGGCCCUC
ensembl:lncRNA